rnacentral:rRNA from 1 species
UACGAAGGGGGCUAGCGUUGCUCGGAAUUACUGGGCGUAAAGCGCACGUAGGCGGCUUUCUAAGUCGGGGGUGAAAUCCUGGAGCUCAACUCCAGAACUGCCUUCGAUACUGGAAAGCUCGAGUCCGGGAGAGGUGAGUGGAACUGCGAGUGUAGAGGUGGAAUGCGCAGAUAUCAGGAGGAACACCAGCGGCGAAGGCGCUGCUCUGGGCCGGUACUGACGCUGAGGAGCGAAAGCGUGGGGAGCGAACAGG